rnacentral:rRNA from 1 species
GACGAACGCUGGCGGCGUGCUUAACACAUGCAAGUCGAACGGUAAGGCCCUUCGGGGUACACGAGUGGCGAACGGGUGAGUAACACGUGGGUGAUCUGCCCUGCACUGCGGGAUAAGCCCGGGAAACUGGGUCUAAUACCGGAUAGGACCACUGCCUGCAUGGGUGGUGGUGGAAAGCUUUUGCGGUGUGGGAUGGGCCCGCGGCCUAUCAGCUUGUUGGUGGGGUGAUGGCCUACCAAGGCGACGACGGGUAGCCGGCCUGAGAGGGUGACCGGCCACACUGGGACUGAGAUACGGCCCAGACUCCUACGGGAGGCAGCAGUGGGGAAUAUUGCACAAUGGGCGCAAGCCUGAUGCAGCGACGCCGCGUGAGGGAUGACGGCCUUCGGGUUGUAAACCUCUUUCAGCACCGACGAAGCGCAAGUGACGGUAGGUGCAGAAGAAGGACCGGCCAACUACGUGCCAGCAGCCGCGGUAA